CCAGGAGCCACAGUCCAUUGGUGGCAGUUGUCUCAACUGAAAAGCCAUGCAGUCUGGUCCUGACAGAGCAAUAGCCGGUGAACAGGCUGCUGUUAUGAGUGAACAGGAAGGGAAUGGAGAAGGAGGAAGCAAUCCUGGCAAGUUGGAGAUCAGCAACCAGAGCAACGGAGACCUUGCCAUCACCACUCUACAAGAUAUCCCACCAGAUUAUAGCUGCAUGAAGGUGAAGCCAGUGUGGUCUUUGGGGCACAAGAAUGUCCUACAAAGGAGGCAUCUCAGGGGAUGCUGUGUAUGUGAAGGGUAGAGGGUGGAGGGGUUCCCAAGGACAAGACAACAGCAGCUGUUGCACACCUUGCUUGUUGUCAAAGCAAGCAAAGCUGUUGAAUCUUUCUGAGAGAUUUGUCCCUGUUUAUCAAAGGAGAAAAAGAGUCCUUUCUGGCUGGGCCCCAGGCCCACUGCUUGAUCAAAAAGGCUUUCCCUGAAGCCACCCACUUUGGGUGUUCUUGACUUCUGCCCACCUACAUUCCCUGGAAUAGGCUUGUCCUCGGUGCAGUGGGCACCCUCCUCAGAUCCUCUCAGCUGGCGCUUGCCCCCAAGUUCAAAGGAACAAUUAACAACACGAGUUCCCACUACCUAUGAUCACCAUGUUGGAAGGUGGGACACAGAGUCCUCCUCCUUCAAAGAUGUUACAGGGAGACCUGUGGUCAUCUCAACCAGCCCCUGUCUCUCCCCCAACAUGCAACGCCACCAGCUCCUGGUGAUCCUACCCGGGAUGGGACGGUUCUCACCCUCCUCCUACGUCCUCUGUAGAGGGCAGAGAUCCCAGCUGUUGGACUCGAAGAAAAUGACUUAACCUCUUAGCCUGUUACUUCAGCCACAAAAUUGUUAAAGGGCCUUCUACCGCA